UACGUAGGGGGCAAGCGUUGUCCGGAUUUAUUGGGCGUAAAGAGCUCGUAGGCGGUUUGUCGCGUCUGCCGUGAAAGUCCGGGGCUCAACUCCGGAUCUGCGGUGGGUACGGGCAGACUAGAGUGAUGUAGGGGAGACUGGAAUUCCUGGUGUAGCGGUGAAAUGCGCAGAUAUCAGGAGGAACACCGAUGGCGAAGGCAGGUCUCUGGGCAUUAACUGACGCUGAGGAGCGAAAGCGUGGGGAGCGAACAGG
rnacentral:rRNA from 1 species